CCUACGGGAGGCUGCAGUGGGGGAUAUUGCACAAUGGGGGAAACCCUGAUGCAGCGACGCCGCGUGGGCGAAGAAGUAUUUCGGUAGGUAAAGCCCUAUCAGCAGGGAAGAAGAAAUGACGGUACCUGAGUAAGAAGCACCGGCUAAAUACGUGCCAGCAGCCGCGGUAAUACGUAUGGUGCAAGCGUUAUCCGGAUUUACUGGGUGGAAAGGGAGCGCAGGCGGCACGGCAAGCCUGAUGUGAAAGCCCGCGGCCCAACCGCGGGACUGCAUUGGGAACUACCGGGCUGGAGUGCCGGAGAGGUAGGCGGAAUUCCUAGUGUAGCGGUGAAAUGCGUAGAUAUUAGGAGGAACACCAGUGGCGAAGGCGGCCUACUGGACGGUGACUGACGCUGAGGCUCGAAAGCGUGGGGAGCAAACAGGAUUAGAUACCCUUGUAGUC
rnacentral:rRNA from 1 species